rnacentral:rRNA from 1 species
CUCGUAGGCGGUCUGUCACGUCGGGCGUGAAAAUCCAGGGCUUAACCCUGGACCUGCGUUCGAUACGGGCAGACUAGAGUUCGGUAGGGGAGACUGGAAUUCCUGGUGUAGCGGUGAAAUGCGCAGAUAUCAGGAGGAACACCGGUGGCGAAGGCGGGUCUCUGGGCCGAUACUGACGCUGAGGAGCGAAAGCGUGGGGAGCGAACA